rnacentral:rRNA from 1 species
GAGGAAUAUUGGUCAAUGGACGCAAGUCUGAACCAGCCAUGCCGCGUGCAGGAUGACGGCCUUAUGGGUUGUAAACUGCUUUUAUAUGGGAAUAAACCUCCGAACGUGUUCGGAGCUGCAUGUACCAUACGAA